ensembl:snRNA U6 U6 spliceosomal RNA
GUGCUCACUUCAACAGCACAUAUACUAAAAUUGGAAUGAUACAGAGAAGGAUUAGCAUGGCCAAAGCAUUAUUAAGUCUACCACUAAAUAUGUGAUUUAUUGUUUUUGU